CGCGUUUGCAGCAGAACGGUUCAUGGAUGGUCGAGGCUUAGGGGAAGAUGGUGCAAAGCCAUCACGGUACCGCCACUGUAAGCGGGGAGUGACUCUGCAACGUGCCACUGUGCGUUUCGGCGCAUGGGAAGGCGUGGAGUCAUGGCGAUCCGCGAGUCAGGAGACCCGGCUGUCGGACAAUUCUACUG
rnacentral:ncRNA from 30 species